GGGUUGUGUUAGACCUUAAUCAAAACUCAGUUGUUCAUGUGUAGGGCGUCCAGACACUGCUGCAAACUGGGCUCGAAGAAUGAAUCAUAAUCCAAAUGGGAAAGAUCCUGGUCUGGUUGGUAGCAAGUGCUAGACAGGUGGGGAGUGGGAAGCCAUUCUCCAAGGAUCUCAGGGUUGUGGCUUUUAGACGAAGGGCUUCCCCAAUGAUCAUUACUGAGACAAUCAUAGCACGAGUAUAUAUAUUCAUGGUGUGUUUGAACACACACAUUUCAUUUGGAGUAAACCCAGGGUUAUAUAGUCUGGGGAAUGGUGUGGGGAUAUCCAGGGAGGGAAAAGAUCUCUGCCUGAAAGCUAAGGUGCUGAGACACCUCAUUAGCAUGGAAUGGUGUUCCAUUUGCUGGGCUAUAUGAAUGACUAUCUGUGACCAUGGCGUUCCAUGUGCCGGGCUAUAUGAAUGACUAUCUGUGACCAUGGUUUUCCAUGUGCCGGGCUAUAUGAAUGACUAUCUGUGACCAUGGUGUUCCAUGUGCCGGGCUAUAUGAAUGAUUAUCUGUGACCACCUGGUUGGGGGUUACACUGCUCUGAGGCAGGCACAGAAACAGAGC
rnacentral:lncRNA from 1 species